UUUGACAAACUAAAAUAUAAUUGCAAUCCCGUAAAAUAUUUUUUUAAAUUAGCGGUGUACCGCAUAUUUUUUUAACGGGACGGGUUUGGCAGAACGGGUUUGGAAGGAUGUUAUUUAAUAACAAUUGUAAAAUAUAAAAU
rnacentral:sRNA from 1 species